rnacentral:rRNA from 1 species
GAUGAACGCUGGCGGCGUGCUUAACACAUGCAAGUCGAACGGUGAAGCAGGAGCUUGCUCCUGUGGAUCAGUGGCGAACGGGUGAGUAACACGUGAGCAAUCUGCCCUGGACUCUGGGAUAAGCGUUGGAAACGACGUCUAAUACCGGAUACGAGGCGUGGGGGCAUCCCCAACGCCUGGAAAGAACUUCGGUCCAGGAUGAGCUCGCGGCCUAUCAGGUAGUUGGUGAGGUAACGGCUCACCAAGCCUACGACGGGUAGCCGGCCUGAGAGGGUGACCGGCCACACUGGGACUGAGACACGGCACAGACUCCUACGGGAGGCAGCAGUGGGGAAUAUUGCACAAUGGGCGCAAGCCUGAUGCAGCAACGCCGCGUGAGGGACGACGGCCUUCGGGUUGUAAACCUCUUUUAGCAGGGAAGAAGCGAAAGUGACGGUACCUGCAGAAAAAGCGCCGGCUAACUACGUGCCAGCAGCCGCGGUAAGAC